GUGACACACGGGGCGGUGACAUGGCGUGGAGGUGACACAGGGGUGGAGGUGGCACACGGGAUGGUGACAUGGAGGUGACAUGGGGUGGAGGUGACACACGGGGUGGUAGGGGUGACAUAGGAUGGGGGUGACAUGGGGUGGAGGUGACACGGGGUGGAGGUGACACGGGGUGGAGGUGACACGCGGGGCGCUGACGCGGCGCGGUGUUGCCAGGCGCGGUGUUGCCAGGCGCGGUGCCGGCGGUGCCGCGUGCCACUACCUGCGCGGCGCGCCGUCGUCGUGGGGGGGCACGAUGACCACCUUGACGGUGACGGAGGUGCGCAGCAGGUCGAUCAUCUGCUCGUGGCUCAGCGUCACCACGGCCACCUUGCAGAUCUCCACCAGCCGGCUGCCCUGCCGCAGCCCCGCCUGCCACGCGAAGCCGUAGUCCUCCACCUCGGCCACCGUGCCGUCGUACUUCACGUGGAAGCCCAGCUGGCCCAGCCCGUUGCGUCGCAGGGUCAUGUCCACCGUGUCGCAGCCCGGCGUCGUCACCUGGGGGGUGGGGUGGAAACGGGGGGUGUCGGCGGAGACCCCCGGCCCGGGGGAGGGGGGGGAGCUGGGAUCCGUUGCUCGCGGCGCAGAGCGGGCGGUGGUUGGUUGGGUGGUUGGGUUGGGAGGGUGGGGGCUGGUGGUCGGUUGUUGGUUGGCCACCGGGCAACUGUUGGUCAAUGGUUGGUCAGUCAUUGGUCAAGCGUUGGUCAACUGGUGGUCAGUCAUUGGUCAAUGGUUGGCCAACCAUUGGUCAACUGGUGGUCAGUCAUUGGCCAAUUGCUGGCCAACCAUUGGUCAACUGGUGGUCAGUCAUUGGCCAAUUGUUGGCCAACCAUUGGUCAACUGGUGGUCAGUCAUUGGCCAAUUGUUGGCCAACCAUUGGUCAACUGGUGGUCAGUCAUUGGUCAACCAGUGGUCAGUCAUUGGUCAAUGGUUGGCCAACCACUGGUGAACUGUUGGUCAAUCAUUGGUCAAUCGUUGGUCAAGCAUUCAUCAACUAUUGGUCAAUCACUGGUCAACCAUUGGUCAAUCGUUGGUCAACCACUGGUCAACCCAUGGCCAACCAUUGGUCAACAAUUCAUCAACUGUUGGUCAACCACAAUUCAAUGGUUGGCCAACCAAUCGCCAACCACUGGCCAACCACUGGCCAACCACUGGCCAACCACUGGCUGACCAUUGGCCAACGACUCAACCAUUGACCAACCCAUGGCCAAUCACUCAACCACUGGCCAACCAUUGGCCAAUGACUCAACCACUGGCCAACCACUGGCCCACCAUUGGCCAACCACUCAACCACUGGCCAACCACUGGCUGACCACUGGCCAACGACUCAAUCAUUGGUGAACCACUGGCCAACCACUCAACCACUGGUCAACCCAUGGCCAACCACUCAACUAUUGGCCAACCACUGGCCAACCACUGGCUGACCAUUGGCCAACAACUCAACCACUGGCCAACCAUUGGCCAACCACUCAACUACUGGCCAACGAUUGGCCAACCACUCAACCAUUGCCCAACCACUCAACCACUGGCCAACCACUGGCCAACCAUUGGCCAACCACUCAACCAUUGCCCAACCACUCAACUAUUGGCCAACCCAUGGCCAACCAUUGGUCAACCACUCAACCACUGGCCAACCACUGGCCAACCACUGGCCAACCACUGGCCAACCACUCAACCACUGGCCAACCACUGGCCGACCAUUGGCCAACGACUCAACCAUUGGUGAAUCACUGGCCAACCACUCAACCACUGGCCCACCAUUGGCCAACCACUCAACCGUUGCCCAACCACUCAACCAGUGGUCAACCCACGGCCAACCAUUGGCCAACGACUCAACCACUGGUGAACCACUGGCCAACCACUCAACCACUGGCCAACGACUCAACCGCUGCCCAACCAGGACCCUCAGCGCCACCUGAGCAGCACGAUUUGCCCUCCCCCGAUUCCCCACAUCCACCCCACCCCCCAGAAGACCCCGCGCAUCCCCCUCCCCGCAGACCUUCAACCUCUGCACGAUCUCCCUGACGUCAUCCGGCCCCCCGUCGGCCGCCCGCACGCAGACGUGAUCCCCGCGCCCGUAGAAGAGCUUCAGGUUGGCGCCGUCGGCCGUCCAGCCGAUGACGUCCGCGCAGAAGCAAUUGAAGACCACCUCCUUGGCCCCCAGGUCCAG
rnacentral:lncRNA from 1 species